UGGGGAAUAUUGCACAAUGGGCGAAAGCCUGAUGCAGCGACGCCGCGUGAGCGAAGAAGUAUUUCGGUAUGUAAAGCUCUAUCAGCAGGGAAGAAAAUGACGGUACCUGACUAAGAAGCACCGGCUAAAUACGUGCCAGCAGCCGCGGUAAUACGCAUGGUGCAAGCGUUAUCCGGAUUUACUGGGUGUAAAGGGAGCGUAGACGGCUGUGCAAGUCUGAUGUGAAAACCCGGGGCUCAACCCCGGGACUGCAUUGGAAACUGUGCAGCUGGAGUGCCGGAGAGGUAAGCGGAAUUCCUAGUGUAGCGGUGAAAUGCGUAGAUAUUAGGAGGAACACCAGUGGCGAAGGCGGCUUACUGGACGGUAACUGACGUUGAGGCUCGAAAGCGU
rnacentral:rRNA from 1 species